rnacentral:lncRNA from 1 species
ACAGUGUGAGGGCCCUCGAUAGGAUGGUCCUGGGAAAGCUGCCUCAGAACCGGCCACUUGUGGCUGGCUCCCAGGCUUGUUGAUGAGAUUAUCUGUCCACACUGCCGAAAGCCAAGAGCAGAUGGAGCCAAUAAUCCAGGUCAAGAUGGAAGCAGAUUUUCUUCUUUAGCUAGUAAGGAUUUGGGCUAGCAUCUUCCAAUAUGAACCCAAGAGGGAGCUUUUCAAAAUAAUCAGCACAUAGUAAACUGUAGGCAGGAGUCUCUGGCACACAGAACAAGGAAAUAGCUUUCAAACCCGAGCUUAGGUUGAGAAUCAUUUUCAAUGGAAUGAAGACAUGUGGACAAAUCUUACAGAACAACUGGAAAUGUGUGGUAGUCGGGCAUGAUACAGGUUGAACACCCCUCAGUUCCAGGGCCUUGGCAAAAUUAACCUCCAGCGGUUUGCCAGUGCCUUUGGUGAGCUUCAGAGAUCGGAUGCAGCCUCGGAACCUAAUGUUGGUGGUCAGGCCAAACUGAUUGAGGCCACCUGAAAAGACAUAAGAAGAUUUACUUUUGUUUCUUGACCUUACAAAUGCUGGAGAUCCAGCCCAGAAGCCUUGUUCAUGCUGCACAAGAACCCUACCACCAGGUCGACCAUUGUUUCCUCAGCCCCACUUUUGAAACAUGGCUACAUCAAAUGCUUACAAUCACAUUUCCAAGUCAAAUCUCUAGCUUGAGAUUGACUCGGAACACUGUCUAUUGUACACUGGGUGAUUUUGCUUGGAGACUUGCUAACUUACUUGUAGAGAAUUCUUAACUUCUUAACUUCUUAAGAGUUACGUUAUAAAGUAUGGAAACUUCAAUUUGAUUUGGUAGAAACAGAUUUAAAGUUAUACACAAUUAUAGCCAAGCCUGAUGGUGCAUUCCUAUA